rnacentral:ncRNA from 1 species
ACGAGCCACAUGCAGGGAAACUUGCACGUGUGGUUCUGGCCGAGGACCCCGAUAUACUAUACUAAUAUGUGUAGGUUCCCGUAAUUCGAGUGAGAUUGUCAUGGCGCAAAAGCAGAUAUGGUCAUCUUAUAUUUCUCGAAAAAGUGAUUCGAU